rnacentral:rRNA from 1 species
UGAGCCAAGUUUAGGGUUUUCUCAAAACCCAAGCAGUAUUGAACUGAAGAGUUUGAUCAUGGCUCAGAUUGAACGCUGGCGGCAGGCCUAACACAUGCAAGUCGAGCGGAUGAAAGGAGCUUGCUC